AUGGAUCUAGGUGAGGACAGGCGCUCCGGCUUUCCCGCCCAAAUGUUGUAUUUUCCAAGCCUACCCUUGCCGGCCACGCCCCCAACCUAGGCCUAUAAAAACCGCCCCCCGCAGGCCCUAGCGGGCAGACAGACUGAAGUCGCUAGACGUCUGAGGAACACAUCCGGGGAAGAAGACACAGGUGGCUGGUCAUCGAGAGCCCGCUGGGGGAAGAGCACACAGACAGGCACCGGCAGGCCAUUGACCAGCGGGACAAGUGGGCUCACUGUCAUCACAAGGGUGCUUAAGAGGGAAAGAGGAAGCCAUGAGGGUCAGAGUCAAAGGAAGGCUUGAAGAUACUACACUGCGGACUUUAAAGAUGAAGGAAGGGGCGAAAACCAAGAAUGUGGGAAGCCUCUAGAAGCUAGAGAAGGCAAGGAAACAAAUUUUCCACUAGAGCCUCCAGAAGGAACACAGCCCUGCUGACCCACUGUAAUGUCUGACCUCUAGAUGUGUAAGAGGGUCUUUGACAUGACCCAGUGAAAUCAGAAGACAUGAAUUGGGGUAGUAAGACUGAAAGUCUCAGAAAGGCACUGUUAAAUUCUUAUUCCACAACUAUGCAACUCAAAACUGGGGUCCUCAGCGGUGAGCGAGGGGUGAGAGAAGACACUGUAUAAACAUGGCACAUCCUCCUGGGAAGUCAACUUUACUCAAAGGUAA
rnacentral:lncRNA from 1 species